CCCAAAAGGACGCAGAGUUGGCUUAUUUUCUCCUGAACAGGACCCUGCUGGAGUACCAGCAAACUGUCAAGAAACGUAAUGAGGGUCCCAGCACAAAGUUGUCCUUCGUCAGCUGACACGGGGAGCUGAAGUGAAGUAGAGUCCAGAGGCAAGGGUCCAGGAAGACUUCGCGCAGCUGAUGACAGAGUGCAGAGGACAUACUGAGAUGGCAACCCCCCCCCCUCGCAAAAUACCAUUACAUCCAUGGCAUCACUGAACACUACAUUACCAGGUAUGUCCUGUUCCCAUUGCUAUCAUCAAUCUCUAAACAAAAAUACAGGAUGUCAGCAAAUGCCACUGUUGGGGAGGCUGAUUACAGUCUGCACUCUAUGACUCACUGUGUCACGAUGUUCUUAACCAAACCACUGAUAAAAAACAAGAAAAAAAAAGUAAUGUGAGCUUAUUAUUAGCAGCUGUGAUCUAGCCUCUCCAUGAGGAAAAUAAAAUGGGGGGUGGGGGGCACAUGGGUGUCAUUAAUGGGGACAGACUAGCGAGCCCAGAGCCACCUGUGAGCAGGCGAGGAAGAGCAGCUGUUCAUCAUCAUACAGGAGUGCUUGUUCCUGCCUGAACGAGGAGGCUGACUGGCUGGCACGUGUCCCAAGGGGAGCUUUUAUGUGUGUGUGUGGGCGGAAAUGUUCGCUAAAGGGAAGAGGAAAACAGCACAAAAAGGCUUAACUAAAAAUGUUGCUCUCUCUGCUUUAAGGUUGUACUUGGACAUAUCAAAUGCUGUGUAUAUCAAACAAUGUACUUUCUGGUGUGCAUGUAUCCAGCUUGACAUGUGAAAGAACGGUUACUAACAUGUACAUCAAAUUGUGCAAAUAUGGUAAAAUAGUUUUUAUUUCAAAUUGGCUUUCAAAGUUUAAAGCAACAGCAUAUGCUGAGAGAAUUAUAGGCAUAGAAGUGCAUUUUAGAGUUUUGUUUGUCUUUAAUUUAGAGCUGCAACUUAUGAUUAUUUUCAUCAUUAAUGAAUCUGCCAAUUAUUUUCCUGACUAAUUGAUUAAAUGUUUGGUAACAAAAAGUAGUGAAAAAUACACCAUCACAAUUUCCUAGAGCCCAAGAUAGUCUUCAAAUAGUUAUUUUUUUGUCUGAAGAGCUGUCUAAAACCCAGGCAUAAUAAGAAAGACAAGUAAACAGUAAAUGCUCACAUUUAAGAAGCAAGAACCAUUAAAUGUUUGGCAUUUUUGCUUCAAUAAGGACUUCAAUGCCUAGUAGAUUAUCAAAAUAGUUGCAAUUUUUGUUAACCUACUUAUUGUUUCAGCUCUACAAUAACUCAUCUUGUACUGCAGUUUAAUCCAUCAAGCCGCAAACUAAAAACAGUGAACACUAGUCAAUUGUAUAAACGUUUCAAUAUAUUUCUAGUUAUUAAUUUGAUAGUUCACAAAUUUGAAGCCUACAGCAGAAUUCAAAGGUGAAUCACAAAUAAACUCCACUUGGACUUGAAGGGAGAUUCUUCCUUAUGAGACAAUGUGGUGGCAUUAUUGUCUUAUUAUUCUGACUUUAGGAAUUUAAAUAAUGGGAGCUUCUGCCACUUAAAAGAUUACUAAAAGCAGACAUUAGCACCUAGUGGAUCAGACAAGGCAAGUUUUG